AUUGAACGCUGGCGGCAUGCUUUACACAUGCAAGUCGAACGGUAACAGGCCGCAAGGUGCUGACGAGUGGCGAACGGGUGAGUAAUGCAUCGGAACGUGCCCAGUCGUGGGGGAUAACUACUCGAAAGAGUAGCUAAUACCGCAUACGAUCUAUGGAUGAAAGCGGGGGACCGUAAGGCCUCGCGCGAUUGGAGCGGCCGAUGUCAGAUUAGGUAGUUGGUGGGGUAAAGGCUCACCAAGCCAACGAUCUGUAGCUGGUCUGAGAGGACGACCAGCCACACUGGGACUGAGACACGGCCCAGACUCCUACGGGAGGCAGCAGUGGGGAAUUUUGGACAAUGGGCGCAAGCCUGAUCCAGCAAUGCCGCGUGCAGGAAGAAGGCCUUCGGGUUGUAAACUGCUUUUGUACGGGACGAAACGGCUCUGGUUAAUACCCGGGGCUAAUGACGGUACCGGAAGAAUAAGCACCGGCUAACUACGUG
rnacentral:rRNA from 1 species